CCGAACCGAGGCGUGGUGGGGAUAGCUGCCCGAUACCAGAGGUCUGUUCGCUUUCAGUUCAGUUAGUGCGUGCUAGCGGCUCGUGUCGCGUGUUUUCACUUCACUUCUUCAUCCAUCGUCAUCCUUGACACACGAUCUGCCGCUUCGUUCUUCACACGCGUUUUCGUCCAUGGUUCUUCCUGUACAAUCUUCGAAUUCCCCGUUGAAUUAUCACGGUGCGACGUCGAUAAGUGUCAGGGAAGAUUCUGUGGUUCUGGGCAAUCGAUAUCGAUCCUUGGAACACCGAUCGCGAAUUCAAAGAAUGAAACCGGAACUGCCCACGGACCCUCACUGACUGCGAGCGACCAUAAAGCCGCGCUAUCCAUCGCAUCAACCACUACUCCGAGAGCUCCAUCGGAAAAAUUACCCCUUAGAGAAACCAUCUCCUCCUCUACUAUGCCCGUUUCUUAACGAUCCGGAAUUCGUUUCACCAGGUCAUAUGUCGAAGGCAAGGACGUGAUCCUGGCGCGUAAACCAGCGAGGAAGUAUCCGAGGAGGAAGAUAACGACGUCGUGGUAGAUAGCUGACGGUGCACGGCGAAUCGAAGAUCGUCGAGCCUCUUAAUGGGCAUUCCGCGGUUGGAUCCCGGUUGGAUUUAGCCGGCUGGUUCUCCGCGAGGGAAAAACAGGAUCGAAGAGAGGAGGAAGGCGAAACGAAGGGAAACCUUGAGAUCACCGGCUGCGAGGAAGGACUCUAUGGGCGCUCGAGGGUGGCGCAGAGUGGCGAAUGACCUGGUGCCGCCGCGAUAAUCCCUCCUUUCUCCUCCGUCGUCGUCUUUACGUAGCUCGAAGCCACGAAAAUGAUCGACUGACUGCUCG
rnacentral:misc_RNA from 1 species